rnacentral:rRNA from 1 species
AGAGUUUGAUUAUGGCUCAGAACGAACGCUGGCGGCAUGCCUCAUACAUGCAAGUCGAACGAGGUCUUCGGACCUAGUGGCGCACGGGUGAGUAACAUGUGGGAAUCUACCUGAAGGUUCGGAAUAACUGCGGGAAACUGUAGCUAAUACCGGAUGUGUCUGCAAAGAGAAAGAUUUAUCGCCUUCAGAUGAGCCCGCACUAGAUUAGCUAGUUGGUGAGGUAAUUGCUCCACCAAGGCUACGAUCUAUAGCUGAUUUGAGAGGAUGAUCAGCCACACUGGGACUGAGACACGGCCCAGACUCCUACGGGAGGCAGCAGUAGGGAAUAUUGGACAAUGGGGGAAACCCUGAUCCAGCAAUGCCGCGUGAGUGAAGAAGGCCUUCGGGUUGUAAAACUCUUUCAUCAAUGAUGAUAAUGACAUUAGUUGAAGAAGAAGCUCCGGCUAACUUCGUGCCAGCAGCCGCGGUAAUACGAAGGGGGCUAGCGUUGUUCGGAAUCACUGGGCGUAAAGCGUAUGUAGGCGGAUCAAAAAGUUAGAUGUGAAAUCCCUGGGCUCAACCCAGGAACUGCAUUUAAAACUAGUGAUCUAGAAUUUGGUAAGGGUUAGUAGAAUUUCCAGUGUAGAGGUGAAAUUCGUAGAUAUUGGAAAGAAUACCAGAAGCGAAGGCGACUAACUAGGCCAUUUUUGACGCUGAGAUACGAAAGCGUGGGUAGCAAACAGGAUUAGAUACCCUGGUAGUCCACGCAGUAAACGAUGAGUGCUAGUCGCUGGGACAAUAGUUUCAGUGUCGAAGCUAACGCAUUAAGCACUCCGCCUGGGAAGUACGGUCGCAAGAUUAAAACUCAAAGGAAUUGACGGGGGCCCG